UACGGAGGGGACUAGCGUUGUUCGGAAUUACUGGGCGUAAAGCGCACGUAGGCGGAUUUGUAAGUCAGGGGUGAAAUCCCGGGGCUCAACCCCGGAACUGCCUUCGAUACUGCGGGUCUCGAGUCCGGGAGAGGUGAGUGGAAUUCCUAGUGUAGAGGUGAAAUUCGUAGAUAUUAGGAAGAACACCAGUGGCGAAGGCGGCUCACUGGCCCGGUACUGACGCUGAGGCGCGAAAGCGUGGGGAGCAAACAGG
rnacentral:rRNA from 1 species